rnacentral:rRNA from 1 species
UACGUAGGGAGCAAGCGUUGUCCGGAAUCAUUGGGCGUAAAGAGCGUGUAGGCGGUCCUGUAAGUCCGCUGUGAAAGUCAAGGGCUCAACCCUUGAAUGCCGGUGGAUACUGCAGGACUAGAGUCCGGAAGAGGCGAGUGGAAUUCCUGGUGUAGCGGUGAAAUGCGCAGAUAUCAGGAGGAACGCCGAUGGCGAAGGCAGCUCGCUGGGACGGUACUGACGCUGAGACGCGAAAGCGUGGGGAGCAAACAGG